UACGUAGGGUGCAAGCGUUAAUCGGAAUUACUGGGCGUAAAGCGUGCGCAGGCGGUUAUGUAAGACAGGUGUGAAAUCCCAGGGCUUAACCUUGGAACUGCAUUUGUGACUGCAUAGCUAGAGUACGGUAGAGGGGGGAUGGAAUUCCGCGUGUAGCAGUGAAAUGCGUAGAUAUGCGGAGGAACACCGAUGGCGAAGGCAAUCCCCCUGGACCUGUACUGACGCUCAU
rnacentral:rRNA from 1 species